rnacentral:rRNA from 1 species
UUCCGGUUGAUCCUGCCGGACCCGACUGCUAUCAGAGUGGGACUAAGCCAUGCGAGUCGACGUAGCGAUGCGUGGCGAACGGCUCAGUAACACGUAGUCAACAUGCCCAGGGGACGUGGAUAACCUCGGGAAACUGAGAAUAAACCACGAUAGGUCACGAUUUCUGGAAUGGAUCAUGGCCUAAAUCUACAUGGCCCCUGGAUUGGACUGCGGCCGAUCAGGCUGUUGGUGAGGUAAUGGCCCACCAAACCUAUAACCGGUACGGGCUCUGAGAGGAGAAGCCCGGAGAUGGGCACUGAGACAAGGGCCCAGGCCCUAUGGGGCGCAGCAGGCGCGAAACCUCUGCAAUAGGCGAAAGCCUGACAGGGUUACUCUGAGUGAUUUCCGCUAUGGGGAUCUUUUGGCACCUCUAAAAAUGGUGCAGAAUAAGGGGUGGGCAAGUCUGGUGUCAGCCGCCGCGGUAAUACCAGCACCCCGAGUGGUCGGGACGAUUAUUGGGCCUAAAGCAUCCGUAGCCGGUUCUGCAAGUCUUCCGUUAAAUCCAGCCGCUCAACGGAUGGGCCGCGGAGGAUACUACAGGACUAGGAGGCGGGAGAGGCAAGCGGUACUCAGUGGGUAGGGGUAAAAUCCUUUGACCCAUUGAAGACCACCAGUGGCGAAGGCGGCUUGCCAGAACGCGCUCGACGGUGAGGGAUGAAAGCUGGGGGAGCAAACCGGAUUAGAUACCCGGGUAGUCCCAG